UACGUAGGGGGCAAGCGUUGUCCGGAUUUACUGGGCGUAAAGAGCGUGUAGGCGGCCAAGCAGGUCCGUUGUGAAAACUGGAGGCUUAACCUCCAGACGUCGACGGAAACCGCGUGGCUAGAGUCCGGAAGAGGAGAGUGGAAUUCCUGGUGUAGCGGUGAAAUGCGCAGAUAUCAGGAAGAACACCAAUGGCGAAGGCAGCUCUCUGGGACGGUACUGACGCUGAGACGCGAAAAGCGUGGGGAGCGAACAGGG
rnacentral:rRNA from 1 species